AUAAAAAAAACCACUUGCAAUUUCGAGAACAAUGGAGAGUUUCGCCAAUAAGCACGUGCGUUCUGAACGAAGUCUAGGUUCCGACUACUUGUGUGGCAUUAUAGCGACCUGAAGGUCAUUCAUUUGAUCGGUUCAUUGUAGAACGGUUAUUUAUGUAAGUACCAAAAAAAAUCAAUUUUGAGUACCAUCGCUGAAGUUUGUAAUUUUCAAUUUUGUCCGGUCUUUGAGGGUAAAUGCUCCUAUGUGCGAGGUGAGAUUUAAAACUGCCCAGGUACAGAAAGAAAAAUUCCAACAGCUAUGUUUUAAAAUAACGCUAUAAUAAAUGUUAAAGAUUUUAUUUGUUAAGAUGAUAUAAUAUCGUUUUUACAUUAUUCAGUAGUGUAUCAGAUAAAUCAUAUGUGCUGGACUUAGAAUUAAAAUCAUGGCAUACACGGCGAAAGGGAUAUAACUGCGAAGUGAUCCAUUCAAGAGUUUUAUUAAGAAUUUUCUGCCAUUCAUUAUUGCCCUACGACUGGAUAGUGUAGGUAGAUUUUCAAGUUCUUAACGACUGGUGUCGAGUUAAUUUAGAAUCCCAUUGGAAAUAGCCUAAGGGAAAAAGAAAAAAAUCUUUUGACCAUAGAAACACUUUUCAAACUCCGAUACCAUGAUUUCACACCACAGAGCCAUAUUCCAAUAACGGUUUAGUAAACGAGUUUCAGUUACAUACGGAUCUCUAAUUCUUUGAAUUGUCGUUUAACAAAACUAAGCAUACCUUUAGCUUUCAAUAGCAUGGUAUUAACAUGAAUACUAAAAUUAUACUAUGGGUCUAAUAAAACUCCCAAUUACUAAGUAGUCGUUCUAAAACUAUAGUUUACCAUAUAAUAAAAUAUAUAUCCUCUCACAGAACAAGAAGGUUACACCGAAAUAAGGACUAACAGAUGUAAUAGCUUCCCACAAGACAUAUUUGAAAUAAAAUUCCCUUUGAACUGUUGUGGAAUAAGAAUUAUGUGCAUUUCAAAUAACUUAAUUUAUAAAAGAAAUAUUUUGCAUAUAUACAGAAAAGUCAUUUUGGGGAGGUAUAUAUGACAACGUUAAAUAAAUAAAGCAACUAUUAACACAAAUCCAAAUGCACUUAAAUUCAAAUGAAUCCUCCACAGGAACGACGACUUCUUCUGAAAUAGAAGAACGUAAUAAAAACAGAACACCUCCUCCGAAUCUCUUCGGUUGAUCACAUUUGAAUAUUUGAAAUUCGCUACAAAACUUGAGUUAACCUCGUUUUCGUAAAUCAAUUACGUUAAUGACUAAAAUUUUCGGUGAGCCGAGGACGUCGGCCGAUUUCAUAGAAGCCUUUGCGUGUCUGCAAGUCAACCUACAAGAAUCAAGUUCAUAUACAUUUCAAGCAAGACCACCGCAGUUCUUUGUCGUUGUGAACAGAAUCUAAGGAUUCACUUGUCAGUACAGCACAUUUAAGAUGGCAAUCCGAUCGCAAAGCCAACAUGAAAUAAAGCGAUUUGACUCGGCUUUAAUAUUAGGUUAGGUAAAUAGACUGCUAUUCGUGAGAUGACAAAAAAUCCCACUUGGAUUGCUGGAGACGCUUGCCCGUUAUGAUGCCCCAAGUACGGAUCAAAAAGACCGCCGUAUAUCUACAAAGCUCCUAGAGCCAGCCACAAAUUUAUUACACUGGCUAAUAUCUAUAUAUCUGCUGCUACCUUAAUAAUUCCAAGUAUGUAAUCGAAGUACGAGUUGAUUUCGGAAUGUCCCACUCUGAGAUCUCCAAAUCUCCCGAAAUCGGAAGUAGUUUUUCACAGGUAACACCGAGAAAGUUUUUACAAAAUUUUAAUACAUUAUUUUUUAGAAAAAUUUAUGAAAAAUGCGAGUUUUUGCGAAACAUCGGCUAAUUUUAUAUUGUAAAAUAAAUUUUUUUAAAAGGCUUGAAAAUAACUCUCCAUUACCUCAUAACUGAAUAUUAUGUACAGAAAUAGUGUUCAAAGUGUUAAAGUUUCAGUAGUUUUGAAGUUAUAAGAACCAUCGACUUUAAAAACGUGAGUUGUGGGGAAAACGCUUUUAAGUUUUAUUUUUAUUUCAUUCAUAAACAGGGUAUAUUAUGUUUAGCAUGAAGUUUGUAAGGAAUCGUCGGAAAUCCUAUAAAGUAAGUAGGUAUUUGAAUGGUCAGCGUGACGAGUUGAGUCGAUUUAGCUACGUAUGUUGUCUGUCCAUUAUUAUAUCUCUCGUUUUUUGAGAUAUCAAUCGAAAAUUGUGCACACGUCCGUUUCUCCCCAAGGAGCGGCUCAUUCGUCAGAACCGUUAAUAUCGGAGCACCGUAUUAUAGCCAUAGAAACUAAACGAUCAAAACAAGGUUCUUGUUUGGUAAAAUUUUUUAAUAUCUGUACGAAAUUUGUAAUCGGUUAUUUUCUAUAGCAACGCUACAAUCCAAAAAAAUAUAUUCAGAGCUGAGCACUAAAGCAUAUACACAGUAAGGCUUUUUGGGUUUAAAAUUAUUUUCCAUUUUUAAUUUUUUAAAGUAAUUUAAAAGAAAUAUUGCAUUUUAAAUUUAUAAAAAGUGUGAACCAUUAACAGCUUAAUAAUAGACAGUGUGGGCUUAUUCGAGGCACUCCAUAACUGCGACAAUGUUGCAGCCCUGAUACUCAAUUUGCAACACUGUUGCAGAUGCUCAGCUGAUACUUAAGCAAAAUAAUUGCAAUAUUUUGCGCGAUUUGUGACCGAAUGUGAAAGUUUAACCAUGAAUUUUGUAAUAAAUAUAGCGAUAGAUACUUUUGAAAGCAGUGAUAAUAACUUGCUGAUUAAGUAUGGAAAAAAUAGGACACAAAAUUUUUUAAGAAAGAGAAAGUGGUUCCUCGCUGAAAUUUCAAAAAAGAGAACAGUGACGAAUAUGACAAAGGUUUGGAAAACAAUUCCAUUGUACCAUGAUGAUACAUAUUUCACGCAUUUUCGCAUGACUCGUGAAACAUUUGCAGACUUGAAAAAUGCGUUAGAACCAUUUUGGUCAACACCACACGGGAAAUAUUCCUUGGAACAUUCCUUGCACAUGACUCUUCGGAAGCUAAGCAAUAGUAGAGUCACAUAUCGUGAGCUUGCCGAUAGAUUUAAUGUUGGGCAAGGAACUGCCCACAAACUUUUCCUCAAAACAAUCAAGACAAUCUGCAAACUUAAAAACGAAAUAUGUUGGCCGUCAGUUUUACAGCAGAAAAAAAUAAUGGAAAACUUUCAACCAAGUCGGAGGAUGCUUAGAUGGAACGCAUUUCAAAAUUAACACUCCUCAAACAGAUGCAAUUGGUUAUUAUGACCGUAAAGGAAAUUUUUCAGCUAUUAUGCAGAUGUGUUCAUCGGCUACCCAGGUAGCUGUCAUGAUGCCAAUGUAUGGAAAAAUAGUCCACUUUACAAAGGGAUCACAUCUGGACAAAUAAAACUUGCGAAAGAUGCAAUUAUUCUAGCCGAUUCAGCAUAUCCUGUCUCAAGAUACUUAAUUGCUCCUUUAAGAGAUAACGGACAUCUUUCCAGAGAGGAAAAACAAUUGGGAUUUUCAGAGCUAAGUUCAAAAUAUUGAAUCAAAUUGAUAUGCGCAAUAUAGAAGACAUAUCAACUGUGAUAUUAGCUUGCGCAAUUUUACAUAAUUUUAUACUGCGAAGCGAUCCGGUUCAUUCUGAAGACAAUUAUACGAGUAUGCCUGAAAAUUUAGAAAAUUCAAAUGAUCACGAUAUGAUUGAACUACCUGAAAAUAUAAAUGACACCAAUGAAGGAAUUAUCAGACGAAAUAACUUUAAAAUGCUAUUUAUUUCAUAGAAGUAUUAUUUCAAUAAUGUAUA